GCGGGUAUAAAUUAAUGGUAAAUUACUUGCCUUCCAAGUAAGUUAUAUGGGUUCAAGCCCCAUUACCCGCU
rnacentral:tRNA from 1 species